rfam:Ipomoea nil DNA, scaffold: scaffold0465, cultivar: Tokyo-kokei standard.
GCGCAUUUAGUGUAGUGGUAUCAUAGUACCCUCCCACGGUACUGACCGGGGUAAAAUUCCCCGAAUGCACA